AGGACGAACGCUGGCGGCGUGCUUAACACAUGCAAGUCGAACGGUGAAGCCCUUCGGGUGGAUCAGUGGCGAACGGGUGAGUAACACGUGGGUAAUCUGCCCUGCAUUCUGGGACAAGCCUUGGAAACGAGGUCUAAUACCGGAUACGACGCAUCUCCGCAUGGGGUGUGCGUGGAAAGCUCCGGCGAUGCAGGAUGAACCCGCGGCCUAUCAGCUUGUUGGUGGGGUGAUGGCCUACCAAGGCGACGAC
rnacentral:rRNA from 1 species